rnacentral:misc_RNA from 1 species
GGUACUAACUGUUUUGAUAUUGCCCUUUUGCCUUUCCAUUUUUAUCAUGAAGUGGAAUAAAAUCAAAGAAAAUCUCUAACUUUCCAAUUUCCAUUGUACUUCUAGGUCGCCUUUUAUUGAGUUCCCUGCAAAUUUGUGCUGUUAAUACCUUGUCUUUAUAUUGUUUGUGGAUAUUUGUAAUUAUCUUUGACAGUAUAAGUUGAUACAUUGGUGUGUUUACUCUUUCACUAUGUAUCAUAUGUGACUGCCUCAUGUAGUCCAACACAUAGGGACAUGAUUUCGAUGUAUAUCUUGCCAUGUUUUGAGCUCACCUGGUGAUCAAAUGAAUUUUUGUGGAAUGGGCCAUCACCUGAUUAGUUGUGAUUAAUGCUGAUAGAAAUUUUGGGGUAAUAAUGGAUUGAAAUGCAUUUGGGCAUGAACUGAAAGACAUGGUGUUCCUUUUGAGGACUAUGUGGUAAACUUAAACUUGGCAUAUGUGUUUAAGUCUCCUCUGUAGGUUUUGGAAGCAAAAACUCAAUGUUAGAUUUCUAACCAAAAAUUUAGCCGACCCCAAAUUUUUGGGA